rnacentral:rRNA from 1 species
GGUUCGGGAAAAACGGGGUUUCUCUGGNAGGGAAAAACUGCCAGGCGAACCAAGUUGGGANGAAAGGGUGGGGGAUGAACGUCAAGUCAUCAUGGCCCUUAUGUCCAGGGGCGAACACACGUGCUACAAUGGCCCGCUACAGAGGGCUGCAAUACCGCGAGGUGGAGCCAAUCCCUAAAGGCGGUCUCAGUUGGGAUCGGAGUCUGCAACUCGACUCCGUGAACGCGGAAUCGCUAGUAAUCGUGGAUCAGCCAUGCCACGGUGAAUACGUUCCCGGGCCUUGUACACACCGCCCGUGAAUCACUAGUGAAUUCGC